UGGAAAUUACCUUUUUUUUUUUUUUUUUUUUUUUAAUUUUUUUAUGAAUGAAUUUGGAAAUUACCUAGUAGAACUUUGCAAAGGAAUUUCGGUAUUCUUUCUUGUUUUCUCUCUCUCAUUCUCUCCAUUGAUAUUUCUCUUCCUCGCCAAUAAUAUAAUUUGGGGCAAGGGUUUGGAUACUUUGGAAAUGGAAUUACAUAUUAUAUUGAAGAAAUGCUUAAAAAGGAGUUGGUAAGUGUUAAUGGUGUAGUAUUUCAAUAAUAUCAAUUUAAGUAUGGGUUGAAUCUAUGAGGUUUUUUUGUGUUGUUGUGUUUGUUAAUUUUAGGUUUCUUGUGGAAACGAGCAUUGGUUUAUCAAUUGUAUCAAUUUAAUUUUUGCUUGAUUUGGGUCAUUGCAAUUCAAUGCUCUGUUCAGCUUCUUUACAUUGCAGAGAUUUUUACACUCAUUUUGUUUAUAAAACUUACUAGAGCUUAUGAAUUUUAUAAAUUCAUUUUCAAGUUAUGUAGCUUGGAAUUGGUAAUCUAUUUUUCCCUUAUAUUUGAUAUUGUUCUAUUCCAAUGAAUACAAAUCCUGCAUUCUUUUUUCUUUUUGAUAAGAUGUUUAUGUCUGACCUGAAAGUAUUAACUCGGUGUAGUUAUGGCAUGGUGUCAAUGCAUCAUAUUGAAGCAUUAUAAACUUGUAAAACUCCCUAUAGUGUUGAAAAAUUCACCAUUUGAGUAUGUGGUUAACAGGAAUAAGACCUUCCAUCUGAGUUAAAAUUUUGAUUGCAGAUAUGGGCAAUUUGACAUUUAAAUGAUGACUUCCAAGUUCUCAUGAUGCAUACCUUUACCUUAAAAUUAAAAGUAAUUACUAUGGGUUAAUGCCGUACAAAAAUGUACUUAGAUUCAGAAAGUGUCAUCUGUAAUAAUUGCUUGUGAGACUGCUAAAUAUAUCCGUUUGCUAUUGAUAAUAUAGUCAUUUGUAAAAUGAGCUGAGUCUUCUUAUAAUCAUUAGAAGUUGCUAGCAUAGUUCUCCAUUUUGAUUCUCAAUUUGAGAUGGGCAAAGAGCUGUUUUUGCUAAAUGAAAUAAUGUUUCUGUUGUUUAAUGGUCCUGCCUUAUAAACAAAAUAGUUUCAUCUUUAGUUUUAUGUGGCCACACACCCAUGCUUUGGAUUAUGUGAUGCAAUUUUCUCUUUUUCUUUCCCAUUAUGGAUACAAGUCCUUCCUAACUCAGUUUUUGCAAAUUGUUUUAUAUCUGUUAUAGUCAUGACUGGGGUCCUUGGGUAAUGCCUAAGAGGGUAGUUGAAGUAUUUGGUGGAUGGAAGAACUGCUGCGGUAUACCAAGGAGGUCUAUUUGAAAAAUGAUCCUCUUGUGCUUAAUGUGCCCAAUUUGGAGAGGUUGCUUGGAAUUUUGAGGGUUGUUAGAAAUCUGUUCAUGAUCUGAAGCUUUUAUUCCUCAACACUCUGUUUGAGUGGAUAAUUGCUUCUGGGUUGUUUUCUUUUACUUCUUUGCCUGAUUUGAUUGAUCGAUGUACUUCUAGCAUUUAAUUUGUUGUCCUUUCAAGCUCCCCCCCCCCCCCCCCCCCUCCCUUUUUUUUUAAUGAAAUUUUGCUUAUAAAAAAAAGUAGAUUUUAUUGAUUUCAUUUCUUUAGAUUGUAAUUCUUGAACAUUGUACCUUUUUAGGUUAUAUGUCCUGUGUACAAGGGGUGUUCCUCUUACAAAAAAAAUUGCAUAUCAAUUAUAAAUAAAAUCAUGUUGCAUGAAAUUCUGUUCAUUCCAUUAUUUAGUGCUAUUUUUUUUAGGUAUCUUUACAAUUAUAACUAACUUAUGUUGUGUGAAUAAUAUUUAACAGUGUGACAAUUACUCGUUCACAGAUAGAAACUUCAAUUCCUCAGAAACAUGGACCUGCUAUUGCUGGUUAUGAGUCAUUAUGAUUAUUAAGUUAUAGGAAAUUAUUAUCUCUUAUUUCAAGGCCUUUAUCUCCAAUAUUUCAUUUCAGCAAUUUGAUUGAGAAUCUUUCUGUCUUGCAAGAUCUGAAUAAGUUCUUUGAGAAUGUGUUACAGUUGCUUCUCAAGAAAACAAGGAGGAGGCAGAUGCAUGAUCAGUGUUUGUUGGCAAUAAAGAGAAGACAGGUCAUAGCCCUAGUAGAAUUGAAUUAUUUGACAUCACCCAUGUGCAAGCUAAUGGGCAAGCAGUAAAUGAACCAACACAAGAUGCAUUGAAACUUGAGGGCACCCAUAAUGGCUGAAAUGUUCAAUUGUACUAGCUGAUAACUUCUUGCUUUGGAGAUGAUGAUGAAGAAUAAAAUGUAUCAAAACUUUUAACUUUUGGACAAAUUUGGUCUUUGUACAAAGUGUGGUUGUUGAUAUCUUUUCUCUUAAACAAUAAUUGACAUAUCGGCAGUUUGUAUGCGGCCCCUAAUCUAUUAAUUUGUAGGUUUGAGAUUAGAGAUCAAAGAAAGUGUAAUUGUAACAACAUACCACUUUUGCUAUACAUCAAUAUCAUAGCAUAUCAUCUCAACAA